UAGUUUUGUCCUAAGUCAAACUUCUCUAACUUUGGCCAAGUUUAUAGAAAAAUAUAUUGACAUCUACAACCAAAUAAAUGCACUAUCAAGACAUAUUUUAUGGUGGAUCUAAUGAAACUAAAUUGAUGUCAUAGAUGUUGGUACAUUUUUCAUAAACUUGGUCAAAGUUAAAGACGUUUGACUUAGGGCAAUAAAGC
rnacentral:pre_miRNA from 1 species